AGAGGAUUUCUGUUCAGCUUAAGUUCAGCUGUAGUAGGUCCGCGUCAUUCAACCCAUUAAACUGUCCUCCUGUGGUAUUGGGUAUUUUGAGAAGCUCUGAAUCUAUUUGAUAGUCAGGUGACAUCCUGGACUGAAAACUGUAGACCAGUUACAGAACACUGCUAGUGAAUAUCUUUUAGGUAAGAAGCAGAGAUGAUGCCUCAGACUGACAGUGUCAGGAGAAGCAAAGAAUACAAGAGGAGGCAUAGGUAUGGAGGAAUCAUGAACACUGCCAAAACAGAUGCACAGUGAAAUAUUAUCAUAAAGGUAACGGAAGUAAGGAGAAAUGUAAAGGCUGCACUAGUACUGUGAUGCCCAUAGAGGGUAGAAAUCUGGAGCUCUACUCCUGACAGCAAGCAGGAGGCACAGUGGGCAGAAGGGAUUGGACUUGUAGCAGCCCUGUACACAGAGGUGAGUAAGUAGAUGGCUGGAGAGGACUGGCACAACCGUACCUAGCUGUGAGUAAAGAAGGCUGAAGUAAGAUCCUGGUGUUUGUUUGAACU